rnacentral:rRNA from 1 species
GAUGAACGCUAGCGGCAGGCUUAAUACAUGCAAGUCGUGGGGCAGCAUGAGUAGCAAUACUUGAUGGCGACCGGCAAACGGGUGAGGAACACGUACACAACCUUCCUUCAAGCGGGGAAUAGCCCAGAGAAAUUUGGAUUAAUACCCCCAUAAUAUUAUUUGAUAAGGCAUCUUAUUAAUAUUAAAGCUUCGGCACUUGAUGAUGGGUAUGCGGCUGAUUAGAUAGUUGGCGGGUAACGGCCCACCAAGUCUACGAUCAGUAGCUGAUGUGAGAGCAUGAUCAGCCACGACGGGCAC